AGCAGCCGCGGUAAUUCCAGCUCCAAUAGCGUAUAUUAAAGUUGUUGCAGUUAAAAAGCUCGUAGUUGAAUUUCGGGAUCAAAGGAUCGGUCAUGCCUUGGUAUGUACUGGUUUUAUUGGUUCUCACCUUCUAAAGAACCAUGAUGUCAUUCAUUUGAUGUUAUGGGGAAUUAGGACUGUUACCUUGAAAAAAUUAGAGUGUUUAAAGCAGGCUCACGCUUGAAUACAUUAGCAUGGAAUAAUGAAAUAGGACAUCCGAUUCUAUUUUGUUGGUUUCUAGGAUCGAUGUAAUGAUUAAUAGGGAUAGUUGGGGGCAUUAGUAUUCAAUUGUCAGAGGUGAAAUUCUUGGAUUUAUUGAAGACUAACUACUGCGAAAGCAUUUGCCAAGGAUGUUUUCAUUAAUCAAGAACGAAAGUUAGGGGAUCGAAGACGAUCAGAUACCGUCGUAGUCUUAACCAUAAACUAUGCCGACUAGGGAUCGGAUGAUGUUAAUUUUUUAAUGACUCA
rnacentral:rRNA from 1 species